UACAGAGGUCUCAACCGUUGUUCGGAUUCAUUGGGCGUAAAGGGUGCGUAGGCGGUCGCGCAAGUCGGAUGUGAAAUCUCGGGGCUCAACCCCGAAACUGCAUUCGAUACUGCGUGGCUAGAGUGCUGGAGAGGAGACUGGAAUUUACGGUGUAGCAGUGAAAUGCGUAGAUAUCGUAAGGAAGACCAGUGGCGAAGGCGAGUCUCUGGACAGCAACUGACGCUGAGGCACGAAGGCCAGGGGAGCAAACGGGAUUAGAAACCCCCGUAGUCC
rnacentral:rRNA from 1 species